rnacentral:rRNA from 1 species
GAUGAACGCUGGCGGCGUGCCUAAUACAUGCCGGUCGAGCGAACAGACGAGGAGCUUGCUCCUCUGACGUUAGCGGCGGACGGGUGAGUAACACGUGGAUAACCUACCUAUAAGACUGGGAUAACUUCGGGAAACCGGAGCUAAUACCGGAUAAUAUAUUGAACCGCAUGGUUCAAUAGUGAAAGACGGUUUUGCUGUCACUUAUAGAUGGAUCCGCGCCGCAUUAGCUAGUUGGUAAGGUAACGGCUUACCAAGGCAACGAUGCGUAGCCGACCUGAGAGGGUGAUCGGCCACACUGGAACUGAGACACGGUCCAGACUCCUACGGGAGGCAGCAGUAGGGAAUCUUCCGCAAUGGGCGAAAGCCUGACGGAGCAACGCCGCGUGAAUGAUGAAGGUCUUCGGAUCGUAAAACUCUGUUAUUAGGGAAGAACAAAUGUGUAAGUAACUAUGCACGUCUUGACGGUACCUAAUCAGAAAGCCACGGCUAACUACGUG